ensembl:lncRNA novel transcript
GUGGAAACGUGGCAGGAACAUUGGGCGUGAAAAAGACUGCACUAGCAUAUAGAUAAUGCUAGAAGAGAAGGGUGUGGAGAUAGACCUUCAGAGAAUCUUUGCAUUUCAGGGCUGGGUCAAGGAAGAGGAGUCAGCAAAGAAGCUGGAGAACGAAGAGAGAGUGUGGAGAAAAAGCAGUGUCCAAAGCCACAAGCGGAGUGAGCUGGGGAAGCCAGCCCUGAAUGGCAGAACUACAAAGUGAGCCCAACAGAGUCCCAUGGAAGGGAUUCAUAAAUAUAAAAGAUGAAGCAACUUUCCCUAUACCACUUGGCACGUGAAGAAAAAUGAAGCUUAGAGUUUCCCAGGUCUUAGUCCAAGGGCCCAGCAGCAAACCUUUCAAGCACACAAAUAAACAAAACCAACAAAAUAAACCAGAGUUGACCAAAAAAAAA